AGAGUUUGAUCCUGGCUCAGGACGAACGCUGGCGGCAUGCCUAAUACAUGCAAGUCGAGCGAACAGAUGAAGUGCUUGCACUUCUGACGUUAGCGGCGAACGGGUGAGUAACACGUAAGGAAUCUACCUAUAAGCGGGGGAUAACAUUCGGAAACGGGUGCUAAUACCGCAUAAUAUCUUCUUCCGCAUGGAAGAAGAUUGAAAGACGGCUCUGCUGUCACUUAUAGAUGACCUUGCGGUGCAUUAGUUAGUUGGUGGGGUAACGGCCUACCAAGACGAUGAUGCAUAGCCGACCUGAGAGGGUGAUCGGCCACAUUGGGACUGAGACACGGCCCAAACUCCUACGGGAGGCAGCAGUAGGGAAUCUUCCGCAAUGGGCGAAAGCCUGACGGAGCAAUGCCGCGUGAGUGAAGAAGGCCUUCGGGUCGUAAAACUCUGUUAUAAGAGAAGAACAAAUUGUAGAGUAACUGCUACAGUCUUGACGGUAUCUUAUCAGAAAGCCACGGCUAACUACGUGCCAGCAGCCGCGGUAAUACGUAGGUGGCAAGCGUUGUCCGGAUUUAUUGGGCGUAAAGGGAGCGCAGGUGGUUUCUUAAGUCUGAUGUGAAAGCCCACGGCUUAACCGUGGAGGGUCAUUGGAAACUGGGAAACUUGAGUACAGAAGAGGAAUGUGGAACUCCAUGUGUAGCGGUGGAAUGCGUAGAUAUAUGGAAGAACACCAGUGGCGAAGGCGACAUUCUGGUCUGUUACUGACACUGAGGCUCGAAAGCG
rnacentral:rRNA from 1 species